GGCCUUGACAUACUAAGAACUUUCCAGAGAUGGAUUGGUGCCUUCGGGAACUUAGAUACAGGUGCUGCAUGGCUGUCGUCAGCUCGUGUCGUGAGAUGUUGGGUUAACGUCCGCAACGAGCGCAACCCUUUUCCUUAUUUGCCAGCGGGUCAUGCCGGGAACUUUAAGGAUACUGCCAGUGACAAACUGGAGGAAGGCGGGGACGACGUCAAGUCAUCAUGGCCCUUACGGCCAGGGCUACACACGUGCUACAAUGGUCGGUACAAAGGGUUGCUACCUCGCGAGAGGAUGCUAAUCUCAAAAAGCCGAUCGUAGUCCGGAUCGCAGUCUGCAACUCGACUGCGUGAAGUCGGAAUCGCUAGUAAUCGCGGAUCAGAAUGCCGCGGUGAAUACGUUCCCGGGCCUUGUACACACCGCCCGUCACACCAUGGGAGUUUGUUGCACCAAAAGUAGGUAGUCUAACCGCAAGGAGGACGCUUACCACGGUGUGGCCGAUGACUGGGGUGAAGUCGUAACAAGGUAGGCGUAGAUGA
rnacentral:rRNA from 1 species